GAUAGCCUUUGUUGACAAACUGAACUACGUCCAAGGAAUUAUUUUCUAAACUUAAGCCAAAAUAUCUCACAAAAAUUGUUAAAAAUCUAGUUAAUUGCUAUCCCAAAAUCAGUGAAUUCUAACGCUUAUUCGGGAUUAGAAAACACAGCUAACUUGCAUUCCCAGGCUGUUCUUAACAUAAGCUGGUGAAUAGUUAAGCCCGUGGGACAAAAUUUGAAUCCAUCCAUCUAUCAGAGUUGAAAGACCAGCGGUGAGAUCCUUUUACGAUUUACGUCUUAAGUUCGAUAAAAGAAAAC